ACGUAGGGGGCAAGCGUUGUCCGGAUUUACUGGGUGUAAAGGGUGCUCAGGCGGAUUUGUAAGUCAGAGGUGAAAUCUCACAGCUUAACUGUGAAACUGCCUUUGAUACUGCAAGUCUAGAGUAUGGAAGAGAGUGAUGGAAUGUCUGGUGGUGCAGCGAAAUGCGUAGUUAGCAGAUAGAACACCAAUGGCGAAGGGAGUCACUUGGUCCAUUACUGACGCUAAAGCGGGUAAGCGUGUGUAGCAAAAAG
rnacentral:rRNA from 1 species